rnacentral:rRNA from 1 species
UACGGGGGGGGCAAGCGUUGUUCGGAAUUAUUGGGCGUAAAGCGCGUGUAGGCGGCUUGGCAAGUCGGGUGUGAAAGCCCUCAGCUCAACUGAGGAAGUGCGCCCGAAACUGCUUUGCUUGAGUGCUGGAGAGGGUCGCGGAAUUCCCCAAGUAGAGGUGAAAUUCGUAGAUAUGGGGAGGAACACCGGUGGCGAAGGCGGCGACCUGGACAGUAACUGGCGCUGAGACGCGAAAGCGUGGGUAGCAAACAGG